CUGGGUAUGGCUCAAUCGGUAGAGCGUCCGGCUUGGAACCGGAAGGCUGCAGAUUUAAGUGCCGUCACCUUGACCA
rnacentral:tRNA from 1 species